CAAAUACUCCCUCCGUCCGGAAAUACUUGUCAUCAAAAUGGAUAAAACAAAAUGUAUCUAGACGUAUUUUAGUUUUAGAUACAUCUCUUUUUAUCCAUUUUGAUGACAAGUAUUUUCGGACGGAGGGAGUAGAAA
rfam:Triticum aestivum genome assembly, contig: Triticum_aestivum_CS42_TGACv1_scaffold_406314_5BL